CUGUAAUGUAACCUGUAAAGUGCUGAGUACACCGGUUUGCGCUAUAUAAAUACCAUAAACUGUUACUUAUAGAUCCUUUGUUUCUUCUUGCAGGCCGGUCACACACUAGGGAAGUGCACGUAUCAUUUAACUCAAUAAUAUUACAAGUAAUAUUGAACGAACACAAAGAUCUCACCACAACUCACUGCUGAAACUUCUAGUAGUUAAAACUGGUCUGUAUGCCCCGGAGUGGCCGUGCUGUCGGUGUGUCCCCGAGUGGCCGUGCUGUCGGUGUGUCCCCGAGUGGCCGUGCUGUCGGUGUGUCCCCGAGUGGCCGUGCUGUCGGUGUGUCCCCGAGUGGCCGUGCUGUCGGUGUGUCCCCGAGUGGCCCUCUCGGUGUGUCUGUGUGACCUUGUGAGUAGGAUGGAAGUGUUGGUAAUCCGUUAAACCCUCUGCAUGGAGAGCAGAGCUGGAUAAACUGAGUCCAUUCAUGCAGCCAAGGGAAAUGACACUCAACUACAAAAACAGAUUUCCCA